GGCGAACGGGUGAGUAACACGUGAGUAAUCUGCCCCUGGCUUUGGGAUAGCCACCGGAAACGGUGAUUAAUACCGAAUAUGACCACGUACUGCAUGGUGUGUGGUGGAAAGUUUUUCGGCCAGGGAUGUGCUCGCGGCCUAUCAGCUUGAUGGUGAGGUAAUGGCUCACCAUGGCUUCGACGGGUAGCCGGCCUGAGAGGGUGACCGGUCACACUGGGACUGAGACACGGCCCAGACUCCUACGGGAGGCAGCAGUGGGGAAUAUUGGACAAUGGGCGGAAGCCUGAUCCAGCAACGCCGCGUGAGGGAUGACGGCCUUCGGGUUGUAAACCUCUUUCAGUACCGACGAAGCGCAAGUGACGGUAGGUACAGAAGAAGCACCGGCCAACUACGUGCCAGCAGCCGCGGUAAUACGUAGGGUGCGAGCGUUGUCCGGAAUUAUUGGGCGUAAAGGGCUCGUAGGCGGUUUGUCGCGUCGGGAGUGAAAACGCCGUGCUUAACACGGCGCUUGCUUUCGAUACGGGCAGACUAGAGGUAUGCAGGGGAGAACGGAAUUCCUGGUGUAGCGGUGAAAUGCGCAGAUAUCAGGAGGAACACCGGUGGCGAAGGCGGUUCUCUGGGCAUUACCUGACGCUGAGGAGCGAAAGUGUGGGGAGCGAACAGGAUUAGAUACCCUGGUAGUCCACACCGUAAACGUUGGGCGCUAGGUGUGGGGUCCAUUCCACGGAUUCCGUGCCGCAGCUAACGCAUUAAGCGCCCCGCCUGGGGAGUACGGCCGCAAGGGCUAAAACUCAAGGAAUUGACGGGGCCCGCACAAGCGGCGGAGCAUGCGG
rnacentral:rRNA from 1 species